GAUGAAGAGCGUAGCGAAAUGCGAUAAGUAGUGUGAAUUGCAGAAUUCAGUGAAUCAUCGAAUCUUUGAACGCACAUUGCGCCUUCUAGUAUUCUGGGAGGCAUGCCUGUUUGAGCGUCAUUAAACCUCUCUCAAGUAUGAUUACUUGGAUGUGAAGGAAGAGUACCUUAAACUUAAGGAGUGUUCUCCUUUGAAAUUGAUUAGCAGAUGGUAAUGUUAUUAAAUCCCUGAUGUUGUAAGAAAUAACAGUGGUUUUGUAGACUAUUAUCUAGCUUUAAAUUAUAAUUUUUAUUAUGGUUGACCUCAAAUCAGGUAAGGAUACCCGCUGAACUUAAGCAUAUCAAUAAGCGGAGGA
rnacentral:misc_RNA from 1 species